rnacentral:rRNA from 1 species
ACGGCCAUACCAUGCUGAAUAUACCGGUUCUCGUUAGAUCACCGAAAUCAAGCAUCAUUUAGCGCGGUCAGUACUUGGGUGGGUGACCACCACCUGGGAACACCGCGUGCCGUUG